CUACGGGGGGCUGCAGCGGGGAAUAUUGCGCAAUGGAGGAAACUCUGACGCAGCAACGCCGCGUGGGUGAAGAAGGUCUUCGGAUUGUAAAGCCCUGUCGGGAGGGAAGAAAAGCACAUGGUGAAUGUGUCUGACGGUACCUUCGAAGGAAGCACUGGCUAACUCCGUGCCAGCAGCCGCGGUAAUACGGAGAGUGCAAACGUUGUUCGGAAUUAUUGGGCGUAAAGGGCGCGUAGGCGGCUCGGUAAGUCAGAUGUGAAAGCCCGGGGCUCAACCCUGGAAGUGCGUUUGAAACUGCUGAGCUUGAGUGCAGGAGGGAGAGGUGGAAUUCCAGGUGUAGGAGUGAAAUCCGUAGAUAUCUGGAGGAACACCGGUGGCGAAGGCGACCUCUUGGCCUGAAACUGACGCUGAGGCGCGAAGGCGUGGGGAGCAAACAGGAUUAGAUACCCCCGUAGUC
rnacentral:rRNA from 1 species